UUAAAUGGCCGCGGUAUUUUGACCGUGCUAAGGUAGCAUAAUCAUUAGUUUUUUAAUUGAAAGCUGGAAUGAAGGGUUGAAUGAAAAAAUAACUGUCUCUAUUUAAUUAUUAUAAAAAUUUAUUUUUAAGUUCAAAAGCUUAAAUUUUAUUAAAAGACGAGAAGACCCUAUAGAGUUUUAUAGUUUUUAGUAUAAAAGGUUUAGAAUUAAUUUUUUUGUAUUUAAAAAUUAUUUAAUUGGGGUGAUUAAAAAAUUUAAUAAACUUUUUUAUUUAAUUUAUAUAAAUUAAUAAAUAUUUGAUCCAAAAAUUUUGAUUAAAAGAUUAAAUUACCUUAGGGAUAACAGCGUAAUUUUAUUAGAGAGUU
rnacentral:rRNA from 1 species